rnacentral:hammerhead_ribozyme from 1 species
AUCUAACUGACGAGUCCCAAGUAGGACGAAACGCGCGUCCUGGAU